GGCUGCUGGCAGCCGUACCAGCUUCUCCUCCAGCCUUUCAUUCGUAGCUGGGCCGUCCACCGUGUGAACGGCAUCCUGGCACGGGAAGAGUGCAUGCCUGGGAGCCCCCCAUCUUGUGGAUCAAGUCCAUCAGGCUUGUAGGGACAGUGGCGGUGGGGCUGGCUCUUUCACAAGUGGCUCAGGAUUCCUCUGCAGUGAUUUUCGAGGCAUGUGCACUUGAGUGCAGCUGGUCACAGAAGCCAGAGGCGUUGGAUCCCCCAGAGCUGGAGUUACAGGUGGUCAUGAGCCACCACACGUGGGGGCUGGGGACUCAACUCUGGUCCUUCAAAAGAGCAGCAAGCUCUCUUAACCGCCGAGCCAUGGCUUCUGCCACCUCCCUGUGGCUUGCUGAUAUAUUUGCUUCCUGAGACACAGAUCUGGCUCAUCUGACCGCCAGGAUUUAUUGAGUGACAUGGGAAACAUCCAGUCUAUACACACUUUCUGGAAGAGAGAUAAAGUUUGUGACAGCACCCGCCGAGCCCGUUGGGAGUUCCCUGAUCUACUCAGGAAUUUCGCUGGGAUUUCACGGUAGGAUGUGAAACUCCUUGCAGGUGCCUAGACAGACAGACUGAAGUUUGUCCACUUGGCAGAACGAGCACUCACCAGUCAAGAAGAGGGCCAAAGUCCAUAAUGGUGGGGAAGAAUGGACGCAGAGGUGGCAAAAGCGGAAAGCCGAGCCAUCACAUCUUCAAGCAGGAACGGGAAGCAGAGAGACUGGAAAUCUCUCAAGGCUUAUGAACUCUCUAAGCCCACCCUCAGUGAUGUGUUUCCUCCAGCAAGGCCACACUCCUAAAACCUCUGAAACCAGCACCACCAACUGAGGGCAAAAUAUCGAAAUACUUGGAGCUUAUGGGGGACAUUCUCAUUCAAACCACCACACACUUGUUCUAUAAACUUCUCCUAGGUUCACAGGACAGAGACUGAAGUUCAGAUGUGAAGGCUAAUUUGAUUAAGGUCACAUUCAGACACAGGUCCAGUGUGUUCUUGGAAUGGGCACAGGAUUGGCAAAGGAGACAGGGAGCACUGGGGGAGGAGGGAAGCUAGGACAGAGGAGUCUCACUGGGCAUUAAUGUAUGGAAAGCGCAGCAUACGGGACCUUAAAAGUCAGGGGCUCCUCAAAGGAACUCGGUUUAUUAUCUAAGCUGAUUAACAGACUGACGAAUACAAAUGUAUUUGUUGGUGUGGUCUUGAUUGCUUCUAAUCUUAUCAUGCAUAUUCUGACAUAUAAUAAUACCACAAGUCACCUGACACGUCUGACACAUGCACAAUAGGUAAAGAUGUGAGCUUACAACCAUAUCGUGGAAGGUAGCAGGUAGGUACUUGAUAGCAGCCCUUAAAAGUCUUAUGAAUUAUAACCUUACUAUAACCUUUCCAUAGUGUACUAUGGAAAUCUUUAUUUUAUGGUGGUCUAUCCAAACACAAAGUGAAUAAAUGCUAAAAUGGGGGUGGGAGGACUGGAGAGAUGGCUCAGCAGGUACUUGCUGCCAAGCCUUACAGACCUGAGUUCAGUCCCUGGAACUCAUGUGGUGAAAGGAGAGAACCAACUCCUAAGUUGUACUCUGACCUCCACAUGUAGGCUGUGGUUGUACACACACAUAUACACAUACAGUAAAUAAGGAAAUGUUUUAAAAUUAAGGUAACCUUUUAUUAAUAUGUACCCAUUAAAGCAGCUGUUAUAUUAAGGUUUUACCUUACGAUUAAGAGUAGGUGGGGAGAUAACCAGGUGUGUGGGCUGUGCAGAAGGCCAAUGGGUGGGGUGCUUACUGUACAAUGUUAAGGACCGGAGUUUAUUUCCAGCACCCACUCAAAAGCUGGGUGUGACUGUGUGUGCCUGUAACCUCAGUGCUGUGGGGACAAGCAGAUCCUGAAAGCUCACUGGCUGUUCGUCUUAGCAGAAUGGUGAGCUUCUGUUUCUGGGAAAGGCUGUCUUACAGGAGUAAGGCAGAGAGCUGUAGUGGAGGGCACCUGAUGUCCUCAUGUGUUUGCAUGGACACACACACACACGCAUGUACCACACACACAGCAUGUACCCCUAAAAUAAUUUUUUAAAAUGUCCGACUACUAUCUGUCCAACCUUAGUGAUUGUAAGUGCGUUAACCCGAUGGCAGGCUGGAAGAUAUAGAAACAUGUUAUUUUUGAAGGAAUUUUUAGCUCCUUUUUUGUACAGGCUCUGAUAACCUGAAGAUACGUACUGGUUGGGGUAUGUUUGUCCAUCAUCAACAAAAUUCCAAUUUGGUUCAGUUAUGGAGUAAUUCUCUCUGAUACUAAUUGUGCACAAGGCAUUUAUUUUCAUUAGCAGGAAAUUUUAUUUGAAGGAUUUGCAAGUUCAAACUGAAGGGUUUGUUUGAAGGCAAAGUUUUCAUGAACUCAAAGAUAACUGCAUAUUUUUAGCACUCUCAAAGCCAAAGGCUGGAAGGCAAGAAGGUAUCCAACGUGAGGGGCUCGUCAGUGUUUUAUGGAAUAUCCAGGCUUUCCUCAGGGUCUCCCCAACAUUCACUUUCAACAUGUGCUAACUGUGGGUUCAGCAGUCAGAGGUGCAGGACACCUUCCCUGUGUGGUCUUAAGAGGUCAGCUUGUAAACUGAGCUUCCAGACCAUGCCAGUGCUGUGUGAACCAACUGAUAAUUAAAGAAGAAAAAGGAGAAAUAAAAGUAAAUGAAAAUUUUCUAAUCUUGCAAAACAUUAAUAUGCCUUGUUACAGGUAUUUUAAAUACGUUUUUAUUCUUUGGGAAUUUCAUACAUGCAUAUAAUGUGUCUUAAAUGUAUUUACCCCAUGUCCUGCCCUUAGUCCCCCAGAUCUACCCCUCCCUCCUUCAUAUCUUUUUUUUUUUUCAUAACCCACUGAGUCCAUCCACUCUGUGCUGCCCAUGUACUCAUGGGUGUGGGGCCAUCCACUGGAGUGUGGUCAACCUGUGCCCUUAAAGAAAAGUGGCUCUCCCUUUCCUGAUGUCACAUAUGUAAUAUGACAUAUUGACAACAAUACUGGGCCGUGCCAUUAGUGCUUUGAAAACUCCACUUCUCAUGCUGAGCGCCAGGAAGCUCAUCUCUCUGUUCUACAAAGUAGUUGUGUAUGUACAUGUGGAUGUCAGAGGACAGCCUGUCGGUCACUCCUCGGGAGUCAACCCCCUUGUUGUUUUGAGGCAGGCUCUCUCCUUGGCCUGGAUACUCUGUUAAGCCAGGCCGGCUUUCCAUGAGCCCAGAGAACUCACUUGUCUUCACCUCUCUACACUGUAAUGGCAGUGAAUGACAAUUAUUGGGAAGAAGUUACUUUUAAAUUCUAGAGGGAAAAGCUUAAAUGAUCCCAAAGCUUAGAAUGUUUACACAAAGUGGUUGGAGGAGACUAAUUCUCAGAGGAGAGGUACUCUGAACAUAACCCAGUGUUUCGGGUCGAUUACUCCUUUUAAUUUUUAAAAAUAUUUUGAUUUAGCCAGGUGCUGUGGCGCACACCUUUAGUACCAGCAC